UACGAAGGGGGCUAGCGUUGCUCGGAAUCACUGGCGUAAAGCGCACGUAGGCGGAUCUUUAAGUCAGGGGUGAAAUCCUGGAGCUCAACUCCAGAACUGCCUUUGAUACUGGGAUCUCGAGUCCGGAAGAGGUGAGUGGAACUCCGAGUGUAGAGGUGAAAUUCGUAGAUAUUCGGAAGAACACCAGUGGCGAAGGCGGCUCACUGGUCCGGUACUGACGCUGAGGUGCGAAAGCGUGGGGAGCAACAGG
rnacentral:rRNA from 1 species